GCCUGGGUGGCUCAGUUGGUUGAGCAUCUGAUUUAGAUUCAGGUCAUGAUCUCAUGGUUCAUGGGUUCAAGCCCCAUAUUGGGCU